AGACCACUUCCUCUGCUCCCCAGCGCCGGAUGGAUGCAGAUCUGUGAGUAAGGAGCCAGCUGCAGGCAAGCAGCUCGAGGGCAGGUGGGCAUGAUGUCUGGCUACCACUCGCACUGGACGCCACACACACAGCCAGGGUGGCAGAAGGCCCCACCUGCCAUGUGCCAGUGGGACACCACCCUCAUGGUCUGCGUUUCCAGGUUUCCAACUAAGGACUGAGCACACUCUCAACAUGGACCUCCUAACUGCUCUCGAGGAUGGACAGCUGGCCUCAAGGGAACACUGCAAAGUGGCUCUAGGAAGAAGCCACUGUCCCUCCAGACCAUAAAAAUGGCUACCAAGGGCAGAGCCAGCAGCUUUCGCUGUAAAGUUUCUCAAGAAAAUCACAGAUAUUCCCCUCUGUGAUGUUCAGCUCAGCCUGGAAAGGAGGUAAGAAAGACCAGACUACCUGAUCUCUCAAGGUCACCAAAUUCAACCACUGUCCUGUUUAAAAGCGGGUAGUACAGAGGCCAGUGUGGGCUCUGGAAUGAGACAUGUGAAGCCCGGGUCUGCUGGGUCUGCUGCACGGUAGCAGUGUAGUCUUAGGCAUUAUUGAAACUCUGUUUCUAAAUCUGGUUAUGUGAAUGAAAGGGGCUAAUUUAUGUAACACUUUUAGUAUACUAAGCCCUCAAUAUAGUUUAGCUACUUAACUAUUGUCUUCUUUGAAGGACGCUGAACUAAACAGAAGAGAAACAGGGAAAUAAACAGCAUGGCAACCUACA
rnacentral:lncRNA from 1 species